rnacentral:rRNA from 1 species
GACGCACGCUGGCGGCGCGCUUAACACAUGCAAGUCGAGCGAAGCGGCGGACGGGUGAGUAACACGUGAGUAACCUGCCUUAGACAUUGGGAUAGCCUCGGGAAACCGGGAUUAAUACCACAUGGUCUAAGAUGGAAUCGCGUCCCAUUAGCUAGUUGGUGAGGUAACGGACCACCACGGCGACGAUGGGUAUCCGGCAUGGGAGGGGGAACGGCCACAUUGGAACUGAGAAACAGGCCAAACUCUACGGGAGGCAGCAGUGGGGAAUCUUGCACAAUGGAGGGAACUCUGAUGCAGCGACGCCGCGAGAACGAAGAAGGCUUUCGAGUCGUAAAGUUCUUGUAUAUGGGAAGCGGUACCAUAAGAAAAAGCCCCGGCUAACUACGUGCCAGCAGCCGCGGUAAUAC